CGACGCGCCCACACAGGCCCCAGCCUCCCGCGUACCUGAUGAGGUAGUGGACGCAGACGAUGCUCUCCGACUGGGGGCCCCGGCCCCCUGACACCACCGUGGCCUGGGUCUGGGUCCACAGAUUCUACCCCAUGGAGACUCCAAGUUUGGGGCCUAAGGACUCCCCCAGCUCCAGAGAUCCAGCUUAAGAAAGGGUACAUGGACCCCAAUCAAUAGACACCCAAGUUUCUAGAUCCCUGGAUGACCCACGAGACCCAGCCUGAGAAAGCCCCACAGGAUCGCCAGCCAGGAGACCCCUGGACACCAACUCAUGAAACCGUCUUGAACCCAGCUGGGCUGUUACAUCAUAUACGCUGAGAUCCAGACGCUUCUCGAGUCUUCCACGCAUACAGCUGCCAGGACCAGAGAAGAGUGGCGUUUUCCUUUUGUUUCCUCCCCAUAGUUGGGAUUGGUAUCGCAGUGCUUGUGAUGAGGGAUCCUUUGUAUAGGGACAGCGUAACGCCCAGCCCCAUGGCACACGGGCAGGCAGUGGAGUUUCACACCUUUGAGGAAGCCACCGGGUCGCCCAUGGGGUGCAGUGGAUGAGCCUCCUGGGACAAAGAACGUAUGCUCAGGACAGAACACAGAGGCCACGUUCAGGCACUAAGUCCCCUCGUGUCCCUGCAUCGAUGAGCACAGGACUGGCGAUACCAGGAGCUGAGGAAACACUGCGUGAGUGAGAGAUGCCUCCUCUCCUGGCACCCUGCAGUCCAGCGGGGAGCAGUCAGCCUGAGCAGAGCGUGCCAGCCCCCGGCCUGUCCUCCCGCCGACAGCUUCCGGCCUCCUCGACAGCCUGCUUGUGCCGCGGACGUUUCUCAAAAGAACAUCAGUCACGGAACAGUGUCAUGAUGCCAUGGGCCACGCCUGCCUCCUGGCAGGUCCUGCUGCUCCCCUGCUCCGCGCACCUUCUCCCUGCCUCCCUCUGACCUGAGCGGGAGGGACUCGGCUGCCUCCCGUCCUGGGCACCAGCGCCUGUGUGGUGCCGGAUGGACUCGCCGUGUGUCCUGGACUCGCGGCCACUGGCGGAAGACAGGGAAGUCCUGGUGUCCUGGUGGCAUUUCUGGGGAGCCUGGCAGGCUCUGUGUGCCUCCAGGUUCAGCUGAGGUCCUGACCCGUGAGCAGAGGACCCUCCACUGACAUGGCCUCUGUCACACCCACGCGGAGCUGGUUUGGAAAGCAGUCACGCCCUCUCCCGAGUGUGGGGUCAGAGGGGGUGACCAGCCCCUUGGAGGGUGUGAGGGACAAGCAGCCUUGGAGAAGGCAGGACACUGGCCGGGACCCCUGGCACUGGGUUUCGGUGUUGAUGUGGGAGAGCAAGGUGGUGCGGUGCCUGCCUGUGCAUCUUCUUUGCUGCAGGGGUUUAUUGCCGGGCGGGAGAGCGGGGCUCUUGGAGGGGGAGAGGGCACCCUCCUGUCCCAGCUGCUGAGGGACCUGAGGUAGGACCCACAGAGGACAACUUGCAUCCACCUGCCUGAGAUCCAGGACUGGACAUCACCCUGUGCCACCGGGAGGCCCAUGCUGGCAUCUCUCUCUCUCUCUCCCUCUCCCUCCCUCCCUCCACCCACCACCCUUUAACUUCAGGAGCCUCAUUCCCAUUAUGAGAGCAUUCUGCUUUGUUAAACAGGCUGCUUGGUAACAUCUCAUAUUUGUCUUGCGCAACCACACCUUGUCCCCGCAGCUCCUUCAUUUUGCUAUACUUCCUGAGGUCGUUCCCCAGGCCACGUCAUGCCCCAGGCCACUGGUUCCCCAGGCCCUGUCAUCCGUGGCGCAGACAGGCCGCAUCUUCGUGGUCCAGUCCCCUAUCAGGCACUUCGUUGCCUCCACCCUUAGUCUGUGAUAGUCUUUUUUUUUUUUUUUUUAAAGAUUUAUUUAUUUAUGCAUACAAGAGCUGGGGUACAGGCCAGAGGUGUGGGGGGUAAGAGGUUUCACCAGAGACAACGUGGGGAGCAGAACAGGCAGAUUGACUGAAACACGUUGAUGAGAGGAGCAGCGGGGAGACAGGAGAGGUCUGCUGCUUCAUGUGGGUCAGCUCCCUGGCCGGGGAUCGAACUCGCGCUGCAAUGGCUAUGGCUAGGUUCAUAGGUUGCGUCUUAACCCCUUGCACCACCAGGGAGGCCCAGUCUGUGAUAGUCUUUGAAUGUUGACUGUAAACGCCCAUAUUCUAUUUCUGGGGAGCAGGGGCUAAGGAGGAAUAACUUGGAAUUACCUCUUCACCCUGCCCGCCCCCCUAUCCCUUCCUGGAGCCAGGGAUUGUGAUAAAUUCACUUGUCCCCUUUUAAAACUAUGAAAAUUCAAUUCUGUGUUUUAAUUUUAUUAUUAAACUAUUAUGUCAAACUUGAACAGAAUAGGGAGGGGCUUCGGGCACUGAGCAGGGAUCUCCCGAGAAGUCCUCAGACCAGCACAUCCCUGCUUCCCCCACUUUCUGCUCCAACCCGUGGGAAAUGCAGGUAUGGUGGGGGUCGCCCCCCACCCCCACCUAAACUGAGAUGGCCUGUGGGUGACGUCCACCUUCCUGAUAUCAGCCGCCAUCUCAUCUCAGAGCUGACUGGGGUUCAGGAGGGCCUGGGCCCCCUGGAGUGUGAACUGUGGCCUCUUUCUGUGACUGAGGCCGGAUCUGUCAGUUUUCAGAAUCCCAUAAGCUGACUCAUUCAUCCUUGAGGAGAAUACUUUAGGAGCUAGAACAUUCGUCUUAGUGAGAUUCCCCCCACUGCCUUGCCACCCACACACCACUGUUUGCUGUCUGGUGGGGACGAGGGUGAGCCCAGCCCGGGCUUGGAGGGGCCCGA